rnacentral:rRNA from 1 species
AACGAACGCUGGCGGCAUGCCUAACACAUGCAAGUCGAACGAGACCUUCGGGCCUAGUGGCGCACGGGUGCGUAACGCGUGGGAACCUGCCCUUAGGUUCGGAAUAACUCCCCGAAAGGGGUGCUAAUACCGGAUAAUGUCUUCGGACCAAAGAUUUAUCGCCUUUGGAUGGGCCCGCGUUGGAUUAGCUAGUUGGUAGGGUAAAAGCCUGCCAAGGCGACGAUCCAUAGCUGGUCUGAGAGGAUGAUCAGCCACACUGGGACUGAGACACGGCCCAGACUCCUACGGGAGGCAGCAGUGGGGAAUAUUGGACAAUGGGCGAAAGCCUGAUCCAGCAAUGCCGCGUGAGUGAUGAAGGCCUUAGGGUUGUAAAGCUCUUUUACCCGGGAUGAUAAUGACAGUACCGGGAGAAUAAGCGCCGGCUAACUCCGUG